UUGAAAAAGAAGAAUGAUAGUCAUGACAUGAAAGAGGGAGAGGAAAAUCAGUCAUUGGUUUGGAGUAAAGAGUUUAGGAUUGACAUAACCACAUUGUUUGCCGUUACGAAGAGUGGUUGUGUUCUAGCCUACGGUUAUAACUAUCUCAGCAUUUACGAGCCAAAUUCUUUAACCUCGAAAUGGCUCGUGAAGUUUAAGAGACCGUUUUUUCAAGUAUGCGCUCACCAGAACACCUUUGUUUCAUUGAAAGAAUUAGGCGAAGAAGAUGUAAAAGUAUUGGAUUCAGUUGAAAUUGGGGAGACAAGAAGCCGUGAUUAUUCUUUCGAGCAGCUCCAGGAGGAUGGCGAACCCUGAAACUGGUAAACUUUGUUGAGUUCCUGGAAGUAGUUUGCAUGUCAUUCUACAGACGUUGAGUUUCGUUUUGAGAUUGGAUAACAAGGAACCUUUAUGUGAAAUGUUAUUGACAUUGUCUUAGCAUAGACGGUCCAAUAGCUUUGUUUUUUGUUUCUGGUGAAGCAAUAUUGCUUUGUUACUUGUGCAUUUUGUGAGACAUUAGAUAUUAUAGUCUUUUUCAUAUUUUCGGCUAGUGUGAUUUUGCAGAAAAUGGUAGUUUGAAUAGGAUACUGCCCUAUUACUUUCUCUGUAAUAAUAACUAAUAUGAUUUGCGAUUCCAUUCUGUUGUUUUGUCUUCAUAUAAUGCCCUUUUUCCAUCUCCAUGAAAAGGAUCAGUUACCAAGCUACCUUGCAGACUGCAAUUGUAAUUUUAUUUUUGGUCAAUGUGGCCACUGAUUAGUAGAACUUAGACCAUUUUAUUUCUGUAGAUUCAAUGCCGCAUGAUUCUUUCUCCUAGUUCCAACUUUGAUCUUCGCCACUAAGACCAGGACCUUUUGAGAAUGCUGCAAAUAUUUGCUUCAAGUCUAAAAUUUCUGUGUCUCAUCAUUGUUUGGAAUUCAUAACUGCGUAGGAAACAAGUGUGCUUAAUGCGGCAUCAAAACUGGUUCCUUGUACAAAUAUUGUAUCUCAGUUAUGUAGCAGCUACAAUUCUAUCUAUAAUCUGCUAAAAAGUAGCUUUGACGAAAUCAAUAAGAUUGUUUUAUGAAAAGAUUAUAGCAUUUGUAGGACCUUGCUUUAUUCUGAUCUUACAGUGGUGAUCAUUGGUUAGACAGAUAAUUAGUUGAUACGUACAUAUACUGCUCUUACGGUAAAGAUCAUAGAGUAGAAUCAUUUUCCAUCUCUGUGGAAUCCUAGAAAAAAUGUUUGAAAAAUUAAUAUAUCAUAAACUGUUUUAAUGUCUGGUGACGAAAUUGUUUUGAAGCCCGAAGCAUUUCAUACUAUGAUCAAUGAAGAGUCAAUGAGCUUCAACAACAUGGAAACUGAUCAGUUGAAGCUCAAAACUACACUUACAUAUGAAAUGCUGGUUCUUGAUAGUGCAAAUUUAUGAUAUUCGACUACUUCAAGGAGCAAAGAGCAAACUGGCUUAUUGCACCAAAAGGUCCCAAUUUAUUUAUUUUUCUGCAAGACCUGUCACUGAACUUUAUGCUUCUGCAUCUGCGAUAAGGCUUCAGAAAGCUUAUAAGAGUUACUGGACUCGGAGAAAUCGUGCAGAUUGUGCAGUUCUAGUGUAGGAGCUUUGGUGGGAUAUUGGACUUUGCCACAUUCAACCGGAGUUUGGUGUCCUUUUUCAACAUUGAGAAACCAGAAACAACUGUUUCAUGAUAAAAACGGACAAGGACAAGAUCUGCCAAGGGCGCUCUGUUGUUAAAAAAUCAGUGUACUCUUAUUAUGCGGAAGCCAAAUGUAUGUAGAAUGCAGAGCAAGUAUUGGAUAUCAGCUUAUGGGAGAGACUUGGUAACAUUGGAUUCUGAGGGAGUUGUCUUUUUUGAGUUGUCUUUUAUGAAUCAUGAAUCAUUCCAGGAAGAGACUGCUGCUGUUAUCAAAUUGCCACCGUUAAGGAUGGCCACGCAGUAAGAGCGGUUUGAACAGAGCCAGGUUCAGUCACUUCACCAGAAGUUCAGUCAUGUACUAGAUUUUUUCAACAGAGCCAGGUUAUUUAUCAAUUCAGACCAUAUUUAAAAAAGAAUUAUUGGAUCUUCAAAUUUCUGAACUUUUGAACGUGCAUCUACUUUCCAAACCAGCCUCAUCAUUUUCUGCAGGUAAUAACAUUGAAAGGAAAGUAUAAGUGUUGAAUUACGGCAUUUACAUUUCGUCUCCUUAUUUAAUUUGAUGGGAAAAGGAUCUCAAAGCUGCUGAUGGAAAUGAAUACUAUCGAACAACUGGGGAGAUUGUAGAGACUACUAUGAAGCCUAAUGCAGCUGAUUUCUUCCCAUGGUUACGAAACUUAAACCUGCAAAAUUUGAACAAGAGAAGGUAGAAUGCAGCAAAUACGCUCAUAAACAUCACAAAAGAUCGAAGACGACACAUGCAUUUACUGUGUUCAGAUUUGUUUCGGUCACUGUCCCCGUCUGAUUCAUUAUGUAUAGGAAAACCCAUGUCAACAUAUAUUGGGUGCCUGAGGAAAACAAUGAAGAUUCUUGACUUUGUGGUGCUAACUUCACUACCAAAUCGAAGGAACUUAAGAAUGGUCGCCUGUCUUAUUUGGAAAUCAAUAUCUUCACAACCUGUAGUAGCAUCGAAAAUUUUCUUAUUUGAGGGUACAAAAUGGCAAAAGCUACAUAUCUCUUUUUGGUUCGACACUUUGAUGUUUGGAGAGGUGAUACACCAUUAAAUUUUUAGCAGUAAUUCGAAGUGGGGAUUGUAAAUGAGAAACUCCUCUAACUCUUAACUAUAAAUACUGAAGCUCAUGCCAAAAAGGUUUUACUAUA